AUACGGAGGGUGCGAGCGUUGUUCGGAAUCACUGGGCGUAAAGGGCGCGCAGGCGGAUUGGUAAGUCAGAUGUGAAAGCCCACGGCUUAACCGUGGAAGUGCAUUUGAAACUGUCAGUCUUGAGUACCAGAGGGGAAAGUGGAAUUCCCGGUGUAGAGGUGAAAUUCGUAGAUAUCGGGAGGAAUACCGGUGGCGAAGGCGACUUUCUGGCUGGAUACUGACGCUGAGGCGCGAAAGCGUGGGGAGCAAACAGGAUUAGAAACCCCAGUAGUCC
rnacentral:rRNA from 1 species